UACAGAGGUCCCGAGCGUUGUUCGGAUUCACUGGGCGUAAAGGGUGCGUAGGUGGCAUGGUAAGUUUGAUGUGAAAGCUCAGGGCUUAACCCUGAAAUGGCAUUGAAUACUACUGUGCUGGAGGUCUGGAGGGGGGACUGGAAUUCUUGGUGUAGCAGUGAAAUGCGUAGAUAUCAAGAGGAACACCAGUGGCGAAGGCGAGUCCCUGGACAACACCUGACACUGAGGCACGAAAGCUAGGGGAGCAAACAGG
rnacentral:rRNA from 1 species